UCCAACGCCAUCCAUUCAAUUGAAAUCCGAUGCCUCACAAACUGAGUUGCUUUUGUAAAAAAGAAAACAUCAAUAGGGAAUUAACUGCCCAUAGCCCCGCCGUAAACCUCUCGCUAAUCUCUCUCUUAAUCUCUCCUAUUCCAGUUGCAGCCACACCGGCCCAAGCUCAUCCAGUUCCCACGCACCGCCCGGAGCUCCUCGCCCAGAUUUCCUUCUACCCCGCCUCGCACGCUGCUGCUUCCUGCUCUCCCCGCCGUCGAGCAGCACGGCCGCCCCGCCGGCCAGCUCCGCUCGCUGCUUCUCCAAACCACAUCAUCUUCUACACCUGUGCGACCCCCGGGCGACAACGCUGGUGCUCCAUCCUGGCGUGGAACGAUCCCUAUCCUCAUCUAUGAUUCCUGCUUUGCCAGGUCAAAUCAGGUCAUCGACGCCGCCUGGCUGACAUCCUAAUCAGUGGGACCGAGGAGUUCAAAGAUAAGGGGGCACAACAUGCAAAUGAGUCACGGCGGCAAGCAGGCGAAUCAGCAAUGGAAACUAGUGGCAAAACGUCCAUUGGUGAUGAAGACUACUGGUGCAAUGAGAACCUAGCUCAAGACAAUGGGCCUGCUUGCUUCCUAGCAAGCAACACGGCUGCUUCGUUAAGCUUCACGGAGCAAACAUGUAGCAAGUAGUAGGUAUUUUUUGCUUGGAAACAGGAAAUGACAUGCCUGCUUGUAAAUGUUCACGAAAGUGAACGAACAUGAAGCUAGUAGGAAGCAUGUAGCACCAAUGGCCAGCUUGAGGGGCCGCAUUGUCACAUCCCGUACAGAAGCAAGUAAGGAAACUAGUGGGAGAAUAUCCAAUUUGUAAGGAACGAUUCGAUGUAAAUUGUUUCUCAAAGAAGCAUAUUUGUUUGAAAAAAAAUUGAGCACAUUCAUAUGGAAGUA